rnacentral:lncRNA from 1 species
CUGUGAGUUAAUUGAUGAAGAUAAAAUAUAACUUAAAAGAUAAAUAUUUAAUCAGGCUUUCUGCACUAGGCACGAGGUUGGCAUGGUGGGGUACAGGACACAUCGUACAAGUUCUAUUACCUUCUUGUUUGUGAUUUUUUUAUUUUUUUUUAUUAAACUGGUAAUAUUUUAUCUUUUUCGUAAUUUGUGCACUUUGGCAUGUCAAUUAGCAUUGUCCCUUGGUGCCUCUUGCAGUUGUGUCACUUUAAAUAGUACUGACCAUUUAUGUGCAACUUCUUACCAUAUCAUUAAUGUCCCAAUACACAUUUUAAUAUGCACCCACCAUGCCAUAUAGCACCGUCCCUUGGUGCCUUUUGCAGUUCAGCUAGAUAUAUUUAGCCUACUCACAGUAUUCUUUUUUGUUACUUUCCAGAGGUGUGCCUGAGACAAAGGUUUUAUAUAUAUACUUAUAUGUGAAAACUGUUGUUUCUUAUUUGUGUUUGUAACUAUGUGUUGUUUAUUAUAUUUGUAAAAGAAUAUUAUAUUACAAUGAUAUUAUAUAUAAUUAUGCUCCUUGUGAGCCCAUUUUAUGGAAAUAAAGCAUCUUCUUCUUCUUCUUCUUCUUCUUCUUCUUCUUCUUCUUCUUCUUCUUCUUCUUCUUCUUCUUCUUCUUCUUCUUCUUCUUCUUCUUCUUCUUCUUCUUCUUCUUCUAUACUGCCCACAUUCAAU